rnacentral:ncRNA from 1 species
UAGGAAAUUUGAGAGGAGCUGUCCUUAGUACGAGAGGACCGGGAUGGACCAACCUCUGGUGCACCAGUUGUCACGCCAGUGGCACAGCUGGGUAGCUAUGUUGGGACUGGAUAAACGCUGAAAGCAUCUAAGCGUGAAGCCAACCUCAAGAUGAGAUUUCCCAUAGCGUAAGCUAGUAAGACUCCUGGAAGAACACCAGGUUGAUAGGUCAGAGAUGUAAGCAUGGUAACAUGUUAAGUUGACUGAUACUAAUAAGUCGAGGGCUUGACCAA